rnacentral:rRNA from 1 species
GACGAACGCUGGCGGCGUGCCUAAUACAUGCAAGUCGAACGCACAGAUUAUACCGUAGCUUGCUACACCAUAGACGGUGAGGUGUGAACGGGUGAGUAACGCGUAGGUAACCUGCCUGGGAUCGGGGCAUAACUAUUGGGAACGAUAGCUAAUAUCGCUUAAUAUUGAUUAUUGCAUGAUAAUUGAUUGAAAUAUGCUAUUUCAUCACUACCAGAUGGACCUGCUGUGUAUUAGCUAGUAGGUGAGGUAACGGCCCACCUAGUCCACGGUACAUAGCCGACCUGGAAGGGGGGUCGGCCCAACUGGGACUGGAACCAGGCCCCGCAUCCUACGGGAGGGAGCAGUAAGGAAUCUUUGCGAAAGGACGAAAGUCUGAACGAGGCAAGCCGGGUGAGUGAAGGAGGUUUUCGGGUCGUAAAGACCUGUUGUAAGAGAAGAACGGAAGGGAGAGUGAAAAGUUCACACUGUGACGGUAUCUAACCAGAAAGCGACGGCUAACUACGUG